rnacentral:rRNA from 1 species
GUGUCAGCCGCCGCGGUAAAACGUAGGAGGCGAGCGUUAUCCGGAUUUACUGGGCGUAAAGCGCACGCAGGUGGUUUCGUUAGUCGGACAUGAAAGCUCCUGGCUUAACUGGGAGAGGUUGUUCGAUACUGCGGGACUUGAGGUUGGGAGAGGGGUGUGGAAUUCCCGGUGUAGUGGUGGAAUGCGUAGAUAUCGGGAGGAACACCUGUGGCGAAAGCGGCACCCUGGCCCACACCUGACGCUGAGGUGCGAAAGCGUGGGUAGCAAACAGGAUUAGAUACCCGUGUAGUCC